rfam:Triticum aestivum genome assembly, contig: Triticum_aestivum_CS42_TGACv1_scaffold_472304_6AL
UUUGUACUCCCUCUGUCCCAAAAUAAGUGACUCAAAUUUGUACAAAGUUAAUACAAAUUUGAGUCACUUAUUUUGGGAUGGAGGGAGUAGUAU